rnacentral:rRNA from 1 species
CUUGGUCAUUUAGAGGAAGUAAAAGUCGUAACAAGGUCUCCGUAGGUGAACCUGCGGAGGGAUCAUUACAAGUGACCCCGGUUUACCACCGGGAUGUUCAUAACCCUUUGUUGUCCGACUCUGUUGCCUCCGGGGCGACCCUGCCUUCGGGCGGGGGCUCCGGGUGGACACUUCAAACUCUUGCGUAACUUUGCAGUCUGAGUAAACUUAAUUAAUAAAUUAAAACUUUUAACAACGGAUCUCUUGGUUCUGGCAUCGAUGAAGAACGCAGCGAAAUGCGAUAAGUAAUGUGAAUUGCAGAAUUCAGUGAAUCAUCGAAUCUUUGAACGCACAUUGCGCCCCCUGGUAUUCCGGGGGGCAUGCCUGUUCGAGCGUCAUUUCACCACUCAAGCCUCGCUUGGUAUUGGGCAACGCGGUCCGCCGCGUGCCUCAAAUCGACCGGCUGGGUCUUCUGUCCCCUAAGCGUUGUGGAAACUAUUCGCUAAAGGGUGCUCGGGAGGCUACGCCGUAAAACAACCCCAUUUCUAAGGUUGACCUCGGAUCAGGUAGGGAUACCCGC